AUUGAACGCUAGCGGGAUGCCUUACACAUGCAAGUCGAACGGAGUGGCGAACGGGUGAGUAAUGUAUCUGAACGUGCCCAGUAGCGGGGGAUAACUACGCGAAAGCGUAGCUAAUACCGCAUACUAUUGGAGCGGCCGAUAUCGGACUAGCUAGUUGGUGGGGUAACGGCUCACCAAGGCGGCGAUCCGUAGCUUGUUUGAGAGGACGACCAGCCACACUGGGACUGAGACACGGCCCGUACUCCUACGGGAGGCAGCGGUGGGGAAGUUUGGAAAAUGGGGGAAACGCUGAUCCGGACAUCCCGCGUGUGCGAUGAAGGGCUUCGGGUUGUAAAGCACUUUUGGCAGGAAAGCGGUACCUGCAGAAUAAGCACCGGCUAACUACGUGCCAGCAGCCGCGGUAAUUC
rnacentral:rRNA from 1 species